UCCAAUUUAAUUGACAAAAAUGUUGUUUAACCACCUAUAAUAAAUUCAAUAAAAUUAUUUCGAGUUUUCCCUUAAAUCCAAAAUUAAAACAUGUUAUGACCGCGAUUAUGGACCACAUAAAAUUAAGCGUGGAGGAAAAAAGUUGGAAAUUGUCGGCCUGUGUAAUUUCGAACUAUUAUUCUUAGACCAAGUAUACAGUUUGUUGUUUGGUUCAGUUGUUCGUGAUUUAUAGCGUCUAUAUAUAGAGCAAAAUAAACCGCCGCCACCGUGACGUUUUGAUAUAGACAUGUUCGAAGAUGCGCCUGUUCCGAAGGCUUGCCGUUAAAAUUGCGACAAAAUCGCUGAAUUGGCAGGGCAUGUGUCAUCAAACCGUUAUAAACCAUUUGAAGAAGCUUAGAUUUACAACGAAGAUCGAUGUAUGGGUGCCAUUCGAAAUUAACGCAUAAUUACAUCUUUGACCGUAUCGACGCAAGCGAAUCACCACUGAAUCGCAAAAAAAUUGGCCCGUUUCUGGACAACGCUAGGCCACACACAUCUUUGAUGACGCGCCGGAAACACCGUAAGCUGGGAUGCGAGGUACCACAUUUCCAUGGCAAGCAAGUUUGGAUGUCGGAAGUUCGCCACAAAAGAGAUCGGUGAACAUUGGCUUUUCAAAAUUUGUUUGGCAAUAAGGAAGCGCGCUUCUAAAUACGGGCAUCUCGCUGGAAACUAGUCAUCGAAAAAUUGAAGCAUAUUCAACUGGAAUCGCAUGAUUGAACCAUGAAACGCAUGAAUUUUUUGAAUAGUUGAAAAAAUCUAUAAAAAUACCGCAAGACUUUUUUAACCAGCCUUAUAUUAAAAUGAACAUGACAAAUAACAAUUAAAGCAACUUAAAAAUAUGAUAAUAAGAAAA